rnacentral:pre_miRNA from 1 species
CUUGGAGUGGGGGAGGUUGUCCCUCAGCCCAGAUUGUGAGAGGGCACAGGCCAGGCCGAGGGACCUCACUGGUGCAUG